CACGUAGGGGGCGAGCGUGUCCGGAUUUAUUGGGCGUAAAGAGCUCGUAGGCGGCUCAGUAAGUCGGGUGUGAAAACUCCAGGCUCAACCUGGAGACGCCACCUGAUACUGCUGUGGCUAGAGUCCGGUAGGGGAGCAUGGAAUCCUGGUGUAGCGGUGAAAUGCGCAGAUAUCAGGAGGAACACCGGUGGCGAAGGCGGGUCUCUGGGCCGAUACUGACGCUGGAGGAGCGAAAGCGUGGGGAGCAAACAGG
rnacentral:rRNA from 1 species